rnacentral:lncRNA from 1 species
UUGUGAGAAAAACAGAACAGUGAGAGAACAUGGCAGGGUCAGAUGAGGAAAGAUACUCUGGGGAACUCACGCACGCAGAGGAAUAAGAGGAAGCAGUCGUUUUGCAUGUAAAGCCAGGCUGAUCCAGAGCAGGCAGGUGGCAUGCAAGGCUGAGGGACUGGCAGGCUGGCAGCAUUGCCCAGAGGAGCUCAGUCUGGGAGCACAGAGACAGCGCAUCUCUGGGACCAGACUCUGCAGGCACAGAGUGAGGACCAGCAGCUCUCCUCUGGCUGCAGCCCUUGUAUAUAAGGCUGCAAAGCUGCAAUCAUCUCGAGGAACUCUGUGCAGCAGCAGGAGCUUAUCCCAGAGGGAAACACCUGGAGGAGCCCGGGAGUCAGGCAUCAUGGGCCGCGGGUCUCAGACUCUGUCCAAGCAAUGCUCUGUGUAAAGACACUCCACACACACACUCAGGAAA